AAGUCGUAACAAGGUUUCCGUAGGUGAACCUGCGGAAGGAUCAUUAUGAAUUGUGCUUGUUUGCCGCAAGGCGAACGCUCACUUUUUCUGUGAACUGGAUCCGGUUAACUCUUUUUGUGUUUUGUGUUUUCGUUGAUGUUUUGCUUAUUGUUGGAAGCUGGGGCCAAGUGAGCGAGUGAGUGGAAAAGAGUGUUGUUGUUGGAUGCGCUUAAUGCUUUCGGGCAGAGAGUGUGUCUGGCAGCGAUGCUGUUUUUUGCAAGCAAGUAAGCAAGCUUUGGCAGAAGGCAGGCGGCGAAGCAAAGAUUGGAAGCCAAAAUGUGAAGGAGUGAAUCGGGUUGCUUGAAUUUGUUUUCUGUUGUGUUUUGUUCUCUCAAGUUUUCUUAACUGAAAAGACAACUUUCAGCAAUGGAUCUCUUGGCUCUU
rnacentral:misc_RNA from 1 species